AAGAAAGAAAAUGUACAAUACAUUCCAAUGUAAAAUAUUAAUUAUUUAUUUUUAAGUUAUAAAAGUAAUUGUUAGAACAUAAAUAAAAGUAAUAAAAAUCAAUCUAAUUCAUAAUUUGCAGGAAAAAAACCAAUGUGAGACAACAAAGAAUAUUUUGCAAUAUACAGAUGUCAAUAUACAAUUUUGCAAUAUACAUAUGUUUUAUAAUAUAUGUAAUUUUUAGUUGUUUGUUUAUUUAUAUAAACGGAUUGUAUUGACACUUAUACUAUGACAAUCAGCCAUGCAGUUUCUGACAAAUUAAACAAGAAAAUUGUCCUGAAGAUCUAGCGAGAAAAUGAUAAAAAUUGUAACAUAAAGAAUAAAGCGGAUGAUUAGCUUUCAAA